UUGGUUUGAUUAGUGGCGAACGGGUGAGUAACACGUGAGUAACCUGCCCCUCACUUCGGGAUAACCAUUGGAAACGGUGGCUAAUACUGGAUAUGACACAUGGCUGCAUGGUCUGUGUGUGGAAAGAUUUUUUGGUGGGGGAUGGGCUCGCGGCCUAUCAGCUUGUUGGUGGGGUGAUGGCCUACCAAGGCUUUGACGGGUAGCCGGCCUGAGAGGGCGACCGGCCACACUGGGACUGAGACACGGCCCAGACUCAUACGGGAGGCAGCAGUGGGGAAUAUUGCACAAUGGGGGAAACCCUGAUGCAGCGACGCCGCGUGGGGGAUGAAGGCCUUCGGGUUGUAAACCCCUUUCAGUAGGGAACAAGGCCAUGAUUUUUGUUGUGGUUGAGGGUACUUGCAGAAGAAGCGCCGGCUAACUACGUGCCAGCAGCCGCGGUAAUACGUAGGGCGCAAGCGUUGUCCGGAAUUAUUGGGCGUAAAGAGCUCGUAGGCGGUUUGUCGCGUCUGCCGUGAAAACCCGAUGCUUAACGUCGGGCUUGCGGUGGGUACGGGCAGGCUAGAGUGCGGUAGGGGUGACUGGAAUUCCUGGUGUAGCGGUGGAAUGCGCAGAUAUCAGGAGGAACACCGAUGGCGAAGGCAGGUCACUGGGCCGUUACUGACGCUGAGGAGCGAAAGCAUGGGGAGCGAACAGGAUUAGAUACCCUGGUAGUCCAUGCCGUAAACGUUGGGC
rnacentral:rRNA from 1 species